GACGAACGCUGGCGGCGUGCCUAAUACAUGCAAGUCGAACGCACUCUCGUUUAGAUUGAAGGAGCUUGCUCCUGAUUGAUAAACAUUUGAGUGAGUGGCGGACGGGUGAGUAACACGUGGGUAACCUGCCCUAAAGUGGGGGAUAACAUUUGGAAACAGAUGCUAAUACCGCAUAAAACCUAACACCGCAUGGUGUAGGGUUGAAAGAUGGUUUCGGCUAUCACUUUAGGAUGGACCCGCGGUGCAUUAGUUAGUUGGUGAGGUAAAGGCUCACCAAGACCGUGAUGCAUAGCCGACCUGAGAGGGUAAUCGGCCACACUGGGACUGAGACACGGCCCAGACUCCUACGGGAGGCAGCAGUAGGGAAUCUUCCACAAUGGACGAAAGUCUGAUGGAGCAACGCCGCGUGAGUGAAGAAGGUUUUCGGAUCGUAAAA
rnacentral:rRNA from 1 species